rnacentral:rRNA from 3 species
ACGGAAGGCAGCAGUGGGGAAUAUUGCACAAUGGGGGAAACCCUGAUGCAGCGACGCCGCGUGAGUGAAGAAGUAUUUCGGUAUGUAAAGCUCUAUCAGCAGGAAAGAAAAUGACGGUACCUGACUAAGAGGCCCCGGCUAACUACGUGCCAGCAGCCGCGGUAAUACGUAGGGGGCAAGCGUUAUCCGGAUUUACUGGGUGUAAAGGGAGCGUAGACGGCUUUGCAAGUCUGAAGUGAAAGCCCGGGGCUCAACCCCGGAACUGCUUUGGAAACUGUAGAGCUAGAGUGCAGGAGAGGUAAGUGGAAUUCCUAGUGUAGCGGUGAAAUGCGUAGAUAUUAGGAGGAACACCAGUGGCGAAGGCGGCUUACUGGACUGUAACUGACGUUGAGGCUCGAAGGCGUGGGGAGCAAACAGGAUUAGAUACCCUGGUA